AUGCGCUUUACCCGGCUGCUGGAGCAGCGUGCCGGCGGGGACGAACUGGACGGCGGGCUUUGCAGUCGAACCAAGAUGCCUCCACGUUCCUUUUCUGCAUUUCGCCCAACACCCGCUCUGCUGAUAGCCCCGCGCAGCAGCCUCCUCCUCCCCAGCUCACCGCCUCCGGCCACCUCCGCCUGCGCCACCGCCCCCCAAUGGAACGCCACCAUCAGAGACCGCCUCGACUCCGGCCUCCCGGCGGCGGCCGUCUCCGCCUUCGCCGCCAUGCUCCGCGCCGGCGCCCGCCCGGACGGCUUCACGCUCCCGCUGCUCAACCGCGCGGCGGCCUCGCUCGCCGUCGCUGGCCUCGUCGGGGCCGCCCACUCGGUCGGCGUCCGGACCGGGUUCGCCCUCAACCUGUACUUCUGCAACACCCUCGUCGACGCCUACGUGAGGCACGGCGCGGUCGCCUCCGCGCGGCAGCUGUUCGACGAAAUGACUGCAAGGGACGUGGUUUCCUGGACCUCUCUGAUAUCAGCCUAUGUCGGCACAGGCGACCGACGGGAGGUGUCCGGAUUGGUGACCAAGAUGCGGAUGGACCGGUGCGAGCCGAGUGCGGUGACGCUCGCCGUCCUGCUUCGUCUGUGUACUGCCGAGAGGGACGUUCCUGGGGGGAGACAGCUGCACUGCUAUGCGAUGAAGAGCGGUUUAAGCGAAGAGCCGCUGGUUCUCAACUCAAUACUGACGCACUUGAGCAGGACGGCGUCUGGCUUGGGCGACGCGGUGAGGCUGUUCGAGCUGUCCCCUGGAGGAAGAGAUGCGGUUUCUUGGAACAUUAUAAUCUCGGAGUUUUCGUCGCAGGGGAACGUUGCUCAAGUCAUUGACAUGUUUGAGAGGAUGAGAAGAGAGGAAGUGUGUCCAACCUGCCAGACCUUAACUGCCCUGGUUGCUGCAUUUGCCAAGCACAGGUGUCUUGAGCAAGGAGAAAAGCUCCAUUGUUUCGUAAUUAGGAGCGGGCUUACUGAUCCAGUCUUGGUGGCAUCCUUUCUGGAUUUCUAUGCUAAAUGCGGUGAAAUGGAAUCUUCCGCCAAGUUGUUUGAGGAAUUCAAGGGAACAGGCAGCUGCAUAUGGUCAGCCAUGAUGUGGGGUCUCAUCCACCAUGGGCACUUCUUACAGGUAGUCCAUCUGUUUGGGCGAAUGUUGAACUCUCAGCUAGCUAUCAAUGCUGACAUGCUUCAAGGACUAGUCAUCAGUUACAUGGAAUUAGGUGCUUCGCGGCUAGGUAAAUCAGCUCAUGGAUACAUCAUACGGAACAGCCAUGCUGCACAAUAUGAGAAUAGUUGUUACUUGGAGACAUCCAUUGUUAAAUUCUAUGCUAGAUGCGGGAACAUCCAUUUGGCACGCCGGUGCUUCAACAACAUCCAGCAGAGAGACAUUGUCGCAUGGAGUUCAAUGAUUGAAGCGUACGCGAUUCAUGGCAAUGGCAAGGAAGCUCUGGCAUUGUUUGACCAAAUGCUUGCGGAAGGAGUAAUGCCAAACGGAGUGACCUUCCUGAGCUUGCUGUCAGCAUGUAGUUACUCAGGGCUUGUUACUGAAGCUCGUGCAUUGUUUGAUUGCAUGGUUAGGAAGUUUGGCAUCACACCGGAGCUAGGCCACUACACUUGCAUGGUGGACAUCCUUGGCCGUUCAGGUAACCUAGAUGAAGCUGCCCAAGUGAUCAGUGGCAUGAAUGUUAAGCCAGACGGAAGAAUUUGGGUGCUCUCCUUGCAUCAUGCAAAACACAUUCAAAUGUCGAGCUGGCAUCUUUUGCGGCUCGGAAACUUAUGGAGUUGGAACCAGAUAAUGUUGGCUACCAUGUGGUGUAUAGUAAUGUGCAAGCAGGCAGUGGUGAUAGAUGGCCUGAGGUGGAGCAUAUUAGACGCUCGAUGGCAGUGA
rnacentral:rRNA from 1 species